rnacentral:rRNA from 1 species
ACAUGCAAGUCGAACGGAGUGACCCUUGAAGUUGGAGUGCUUGCACAAAGAUGGAUUUGGAUUUCACUCAGUGGCAGACGGGUGAGUAACGCGUGGGUAAUCUACCUCGAAGACUGGGAUAACUUCUGGAAACGGAUGCUAAUACCGGAUAAACCAUAUUUAGAUAACUAGAUAUGUUGAAAGGGGCUUCGGCCUCACUUCGAGAUGAGCUUGCGUUGUAUUAGCUAGUUGGUGGGGUAAUGGCCUACCAAGGCAACGAUGCAUAUCCGAGCUGAGAGGCUGAUCGGACACAUUGGGACUGAGACACGGCCCAGACUCCUACGGGAGACAGCAGUUAGGAAUAUUCGUCAAUGGGGGAAACCCUGAACGAGCAAUGCCGCGUGAAUGAUGACAAUCCCUCUGGAUUGUAAAGUUCUGUUGUAAAGGAUGAAACCUUAUCAUAGGUAAUGAUGAUAAGCUGACGGUACUUUACCAGAAAGCCCCGGCUAACUACGUGCCAGCAGCAGC